rnacentral:rRNA from 1 species
CGCUAGCGACAGGCCUAACACAUGCAAGUCGAGGGGCAGCACAAGGAGCAAUCUGAGGUGGCGACCGGCGCACGGGUGAGUAACACGUAUGCAACCUGCCUGUAAGCGGGGAAUAACCCGUUGAAAGACGGACUAAUACCGCAUAAUACUAAAUUACUGCAUGGUAAUUUAUUUAAACAUUUAUGGCUUACAGAUGGGCAUGCGCAUGAUUAGCUAGUUGGAGAGGUAACGGCUCCCCAAGGCAACGAUCAUUAGGGGUUCUGAGAGGAAGGUCCCCCCACACUGGUACUGAGACACGGACCAGACUCCUACGGGAGGCAGCAGUGAGGAAUAUUGGUCAAUGGACGAGAGUCUGAACCAGCCAAGUCGCGUGCAGGAAGAAUGUCCUAUGGAUUGUAAACUGCUUUUGCAGGGGAAUAAAGUGCAUCACGUGUGAUGUUUUGUAUGUACUCUGCGAAUAAGGGUCGGCUAACUCCGUGCCAGCCGCCGC